AAUAAUAGACGUGUUAUCAGUGCAAGCAUUAUAUGAUCCAGGAACAGAAUGUAUACAGGAAAAGUGUUUGUUUUCUUUGUACUAUUUGCAACUGGAGUAGUAUCUACUCAGAUCAAUAUCUUACAGUGGCUGGAAUCUAAAUUUAAUAAAAACACAUCAAUGUUGAGGGAAAUAUUAACAAUUCUUUGAAAAGAGAACACGCCCCAUUUGAGAGAAGUUUCCUAUAGUAAGACCAGUUACCAAAGUUCAACUGCUGUAGACCAUGGUAAUCCAUAUUCAUCGAAUCUUGCUGUUGAUGGCAACAUGGAUACGUUCAUGCACACACAUACUGAAAAUUCACCAUACUGGGAGGUAGACCUUGGAAAGAAUUAUCAAAUCAAACGAGUUGAAAUAUAUAACAGAAGAAAUUGUUGUGGUGAACGACUUCAUGAUCUAGAUAUAUCUGUUGGACCUUCCCAUAACAUGAUGUCAUUGUGUAAACAUUAUACAGGACCAGCAAAAACAGGAGCUCAUCUUAUAUUUGAUUGCCACAGAACUAUAAAUGGUAGAUACGUCAAGCUGAUGAUAAAAGGAAAAGAAAUAUUAAACAUAGGGGAGGUCAAGGUGUAUGCUAUUGUAUAGAGAACGAGUAUCGAUAUAUAGAGGGUCUGGAUGGCGGUCGUUCAUUUCUUUAUUCUUAAAUUUGUAUGCCUUUUUCUCUAUUCUUCAUUGUAUUGGUCCAUUAUUUUCUAUUCUUCAUUACUUCAGCACCCCAGUAUUCUCUAUUCUUUAUUUAUUUGGCCUAAUUUUCUCUAUUCUUUAUAUUUUUUGGCCUUUAUUUUGCACUUUUUGCCCAUUAUUCUCUAUUCUGUAAAUUCCAGUCAGACCCUCAUAGUAAAAGUAACACAUAGCAUGAUGAUAAUUAUAAUUAGUUGUAAUUAAAAUUAGAUAAAUAAACGUUCAUGAUUUUA